GGGAAGUCGAGGUUUAGAGAGGGCAGAACCACGCUGGGGGCGGAGAUAGGGGAGACACAUGCUGGGAUGGGGCAGGGCCUUUUUGGGGUCGGUAGCUAUUGCAGGGAUUUGGGAGCCGGGCUAUGGUGGGGGCUGGGCUGAAACUCUGGCUGUGGGAGGGGCGGGACCUGGGGGAUGAGGACCUUGGGGUCAGGGAGAGCACUUUUGCGACCUGGGACCAAGGUUAGGGGCGGAAACGGAUGUGGAGCCAGAUGAUGUUGAGAGACAGAGACAGGACACUUGGGUGGGGUCAAGUUGUAGGGAGAUUCAGCCAAUUGAAUGCUGGGGCCGGGCCAGCAUUGGGGACCUGGAAUUGUAGCCUCAGGUUUCCUUGUUCCCUCUGGGAGCUCCCAGGCUUAA
rnacentral:lncRNA from 1 species